rnacentral:rRNA from 1 species
UACGUAGGGUGCAAGCGUUAAUCGGAAUUACUGGGCGUAAAGCGUGCGCAGGCGGUUUGUCGCGUCUGCUGUGAAAACUGGAGGCUCAACCUCCAGCCUGCAGUGGGUACGGGCAGACUAGAGUGCGGUAGGGGAGAUUGGAAUUCCUGGUGUAGCGGUGGAAUGCGCAGAUAUCAGGAGGAACACCGGUGGCGAAGGCGGGUCUCUGGGCCAUUACUGACGCUGAGGAGCGAAAGCGUGGGGAGCGAGCAGG